AUUGAACGCUGGCGGCAGGCCUAACACAUGCAAGUCGAACGGUAACAGGAAGCAGCUUGCUGCUUUGCUGACGAGUGGCGGACGGGUGAGUAAUGUCUGGGGAACUGCCUGAUGGAGGGGGAUAACUACUGGAAACGGCAGCUAAUACCGCAUAACGUCGCAAGACCAAAGAGGGGGACCUUCGGGCCUCUUGCCAUCGGAUGUGCCCAGAUGGGAUUAGCUAGUAGGUGGGGUAACGGCUCACCUAGGCGACGAUCCCUAGCUGGUCUGAGAGGAUGACCAGCCACACUGGAACUGAGACACGGUCCAGACUCCUACGGGAGGCAGCAGUGGGGAAUAUUGCACAAUGGGCGCAAGCCUGAUGCAGCCAUGCCGCGUGUAUGAAGAAGGCCUUCGGGUUGUAAAGUACUUUCAGCGGGGAGGAAGGGAGUAAAGUUAAUACCUUUGCUCAUUGACGUUACCCGCAGAAGAAGCACCGGCUAACUCCGUG
rnacentral:rRNA from 1 species